rnacentral:rRNA from 1 species
GGAAUAUUGGACAAUGGGGGCAACCCUGAUCCAGCCAUGCCGCGUGUGUGAAGAAGGCCUUCGGGUUGUAAAGCACUUUCAGUGGUGAGGAAGGGGUGUCGGUUAAUACCCGGCAUCAUUGACGUUAGCCACAGACGAAGCACCGGCUAACUCCGUGCCAGCAGCCGCGGUAAUACGGAGGGUGCGAGCGUUAAUCGGAAUUACUGGGCGUAAAGCACGCGUAGGCGGCAAGUUAAGUUGGGUGUGAAAGCCCCGGGCUCAACCUGGGAACUGCAUUCAAAACUGGCUAGCUGGAGUACGGCAGAGGACAGUGGAAUUUCCGGUGUAGCGGUGAAAUGCGUAGAGAUCGGAAGGAACACCAGUGGCGAAGGCGACUGUCUGGGCUGAUACUGACGCUGAGGUGCGAAAGCGUGGGGAGCA